AGAAUGUUAUCACGGGAGACACACGGCGGGUGCUAACGUCCGUCGUGAAGAGGGAAACAACCCAGACCGCCAGCUAAGGUCCCAAAGUCAUGGUUAAGUGGGAAACGAUGUGGGAAGGCCCAGACAGCCAGGAUGUUGGCUUAGAAGCAGCCAUCAUUUAAAGAAAGCGUAAUAGCUCACUGGUCGAGUCGGCCUGCGCGGAAGAUGUAACGGGGCUAAACCAUGCACCGAAGCUGCGGCAGCGAC
rnacentral:rRNA from 1 species